CCUUUGUACACACCGCCCGUCGCUACUACCGAUUGAAUGGCUCAGUGAGGCCUUCGGACUGGCUCGGAGGGGUUGGCAACGACCUUUCCAAGCCGGAAAGUUGUCCAAACUCGGUCAUUUAGAGG
rnacentral:rRNA from 1 species